ACGUGCGCCACUAUGCCUGGCCAGACUCAUUUUUUAAGUGCUCAGUAGCCACGUGUUGCUAUUGGUUAUCUUAUUGGAUAGCACCAUUCCUAAGGCCUUCAAGAAUUUGGGCUGCUAAACUUAACAAUGCAAGAUAUUCCUUUUUAAAAUAGUAGUGGCUUAGUGAUAGAAACAGAACUAAGUGUAUAUUUUUACAAUAUAAUGUGUUGGGUAAAGAAUAUUUAAUAGUCACUAUAUUGUAAGUUGAAAAUAAAGCUACAGAAAAGGAACCUAACCUUGCCCGCAGAUUUUUAACAAGGAAAUCUAAACAUUUGCAUAAAGCAUAAUAGACUUUAAAAAUUAUGAUAAAGAUGUUAUCACAGGACUUAUUUGUUUCUUUAUACUUACUAGUCACUAUUCUUGCUUCCUGAAGAUGGAUGGUUAUACCUUCAGCAAUGUACUUAAAUCCUUCUAACAUCUUAUGUGAAGUUAUAGUUCUCAUCUAGAACUAACUGAAAAAGAAAGCAAAGCUUCUUGAAAAUAAACUCCUUUUUUGUGUGCUAAAAUAUUGUUUUAAUACUUCAAAAGAAACGAAAGCUUCUAUGAGAAGAAUGUUGACCUGUGUCCAGACCAAACAAGGUGAAGAAGUCUUAUUUUAACAUUUGAGAAGUAUCAGUUGGGCAUCAGAUAACAUUCCUGAAAGGGAUUGAAAACAAUGCAGUAGACUACAAAAGAAGCUGCACAUCCUUAGGAAGAAAAUAAACCGUUUGUCAUGGAUGGCUUGUCCACAUGCGCAAAGUAGAGAGCAACCUAAGAUGGCGCCAUCCAGUUCCAGAGUCAAGCAAGCUGUCAUGUUAUAAGCAGCCCUUUGAGGGGUCCAUGUGAUGUCAAGGAAUGAAGUCUCCAGCCAGCAUUUAAUGAGAAACUGAGGCCCACCAACAAUCUUGAGUGAACCUGGAAGUAGCUCCUUCAGCAUCAGUUGGUUGUUGAGAUGACUACUGGCAGGUUAACUGCAACUUCAUGGGAGUCUUCUGGACCAGAACCACUCAGUUAAGUGACUCCCAGAUUCCUGAUCCUCAGAAACUCUGAGAAAUAAUGAAUAUUUGUUGUUUUAAAAUGUUAAAUUUUGAGGUAUUGUAUUAUGUGGCAAUAGAUAACUAAUAUAUAAAUUAUUUUAAUCAAACAAUAUGUUAAAUUAAAGCUCAGAAGAAUAAACAUCUGUAAUUCCUU